rnacentral:rRNA from 1 species
CACGUAGGGCGCAAGCGUUGUCCGGAAUUAUUGGGCGUAAAGAGCUCGUAGGCGGACUGUCACGUCUGCUGUGAAAAGCUGGGGCUUAACCCUGGCCUUGCAGUGGAUACGGGCAGACUAGAGGUAGGUAGGGGAGAAUGGAAUUCCCGGUGUAGCGGUGAAAUGCGCAGAUAUCGGGAGGAACACCGGUGGCGAAGGCGGUUCUCUGGGCCUUACCUGACGCUGAGGCGCGAAAGCUAGGGGAGCGAUCCGG